rnacentral:rRNA from 2 species
CAGCCGCCGCGGUAACACCAGCCCCUCGAGUGGUGGGGAUGAUUAUUUGGCCUAAAGCGUCCGUAGCUUGCCGGAAAAGUUUCCCGUUAAAUCCGACGUCUCAAGCGUUGGACCGCGGGAAAUACUAUCUGGCUAGAGAGUGGGAGAGGUUAGCGGUAUUCUGGGGGUAGGGGCGAAAUCCUUUGAUCCCCGGAGGACCACCAGUGGCGAAGGCUGCUGACUAGAACACGUCUGACGGUCAGGGACGAAAGCUGGGGUAGCGAACCGGAUUAGAUACCCGGGUAGUCCCAGCCGUAAGCGAUGCAUGCUAGGUGUUGGGUUGGCCACGAGCCACCCCAGUGCCGCAGGGAAGCCGUUAAGCAUGCCGCCUGGGAAGUACGAUCGCAAGGUUGAAACUUAAAGGAAUUGGCGGGGGAGCAC